AUGUCAGUAACCCAGCAAGUGGUCGCCAGACCACGUCAGUGAUCUAACAGGUGUUCCUGAGACGUAUGAACCAGCUCAGCCAGACAUCCAACUUGACUUGACCUGAGGUGGCUUGACCUCAGGUUUGCGGCAACUAUGAACGUGACCUCGGAGGUGAGCGAGAGGUUAGGAGGGAGCCAGAUGACCCCGGGUGACCCCCAGGUGACCUCAGGUGACACCGUGAGUGAUGCUGAUAGACUGGCACACGAGUCACACGUACUGGAUAUGACAGUCUGGAUGAUGAUACUCUGUAUCUUCACUUUCUUCUUCAUUAUCAUCGUUGCUGUCAUCUGUAUGCAGUGGAUGGAGAGGAGGAGGGAGAGGAGACGGAAAAUGAGAGCUCUGUCGUGGACACUGACUCCUUCCUUCACGACCAGACGACCAGGUGGUAGUGGUGCAGGAACCAGGAGCGAGGAGACUACCUGAUACUGCCUCAGGGGCCAGUGCCAACCUGCAUCACUGUCCUCUCGACUUCACAACCUCACUUUAAACUACUAACCCACUACCACUUACAACCAUGUCACUACGGGGGUCUACGGACUCUGCCUUCCAUCGCUACUCGGUCCUUCUCUCUACCACAACUCUCAUGCGUCAGUGACAGGAAGUGCCACCAGUAACACUCUGGGUGCCACCAGUGACCCCUGGGUGCCACCAGUGACCCCUGGGUGCCACCAGUGACCCGUGGGUGCCACCGAUUGCCCCUGGGUGCCACCAGUGACCCCUGGGUGCCACCAGUGACCCCUGGGUGCCACCAGUGACCCCUGGGUGCCACCAGUAACCCCUGGGUGCCGCCAGUAUUACCUCCUGCAGUAUUACCACCUACAGUAUUGCCAGUUCUUGGCUUGUUAACAAUUGUUAAGCAGUGUUGCCAUCUUAAAGCAUAUUAUAUCUCUUAGAUUAUUUUUAACUGCAAAGAAAUGUUACCAGUACCAAGUAAACUGUUAUUACCAGUUACCAACACUUGGAAGACAGUGUUACCAAAAUUAAGAGCGUCAUCAGCGGAGCAAGUGUUACCAGCACUAACAGUGUGUUGCCAGCACCAGUGUUACCAGCACAGCAGGAAAUGUAGCUGUCCUCUUCUUCCUUGGAUCGAAUUUCAUUACUUCCCAGUCUCCCAGGCGCUGUAUGACCCAUGUGGGUUUAGCGCCUCUCCAUGAAUGCAAUUACCACCAGCAGUGUUACCAGAACCAUGAAUGCAAUUACUACAAACAGUGUUACCAGAACCAUUGUGCAUUUCCGUGGACAUAGUUGCCAGAACAAGUGUUACCACCACAAAUGGUAUCUCCACCAGUGUUGUCAGCACCAGUAUUACCAGCACUAGUGUUUAUCACAAACAAGAUUAUCAGUGUUACCAGCACACACACAGUAUAAUAAUAUCUCUAUUUACUACAAGUACAUGUACAAGGUAUACAAGUGCAUGCACAAGGUAUACAAGUACAUGUACAAGGUAUACAAGUACAUGCACAAGGUAUACAAGUACAUGUACAAGGUAUACAAGUACAUGCACAAGGUAUACAAGUACAUGUACAAGAUAUACAAGUACAUGUACAAGGUAUACAGACCAUAGCUGACAUCAGUGACAUACUACUAUAUAGAAAGCCGCUUAUUAUGCUGGCCAUUUCCCGCAAAUUAGGUCAGUUUUGUCCCAGGAUGCGACCCACAUCAGUCCACUAACACCCAGGAUGCGACCCACACCAGUCCACUAACACCCAGGAUGCGACCCACACCAGUCCACUAACACCCAGGAUGCGACCCACACCAGUCCACUAACACCCAGGAUGCGACCCACACCAGUCCACUAACACCCAGGAUGCGACCCACACCAGUCCACUAACACCCAGGAUGCGACCCACACCAGUCCACUAACACCCAGGAUGCGACCCACACCAGUCCACUAACACCCAGGUACCUAUUUUAUACUGAUAGGUGAACAGGGACAGCAGAUGUCUUAUGGAAACACGUCCCUAAUGUUUUCCAGCCGUACCGGAGGAGAUUCGAACUCCGGACCUCAGUGUGUGAGCUGAGUGCGCUAGUGAUCCAGCUGCGGGACUUGAGUUAGAGUCUAACUUGUAGGAGAGAAUAAUAAAGAUUAUUA